rnacentral:misc_RNA from 1 species
ACGCAAGAGCACGCGGGGAUACGCGAGGACACGCAAGAGC